rnacentral:rRNA from 1 species
GUGCCAGCACCCGCGGUAAUACCAGCUCCUGGAGUGUCUAUGAUGAUUGCUGCAGUUAAAGAGUUCGUAGUCGAAGUGGUUAUUAACGGUGUAACAGGCCUUCUCUCAAGGAGGGUUAUGCGCCGUGAUUCCAUGGAAUAAGGAGCGUUUAGGGGCCAGGUUAUUAAGCGACGAGGGGUGAAAUCUGGUGACUCGCUUAGGAGCAACAGAGGCGAAAGCGCUGGCCAGGAGCGAAUCCGAUGAUAAAGGACGUAGGCUAGAGGAUCGAAGACGAUUAGAGACCGUUGUAGUUCUAGCAGUAAACGAUGCCGAUACCGUGGUGCGGAUACGCGACGCGGAAGAGAAAUCGAGUAGGGCCCUGGGGAGAGUACACGCGCAAGAGAAAAUUUAAAGGAAAUUGACGGAAGAACACCACAAGGAGUGGAGUGUGCGGCUUAAUUUGACUCAACGCGGGACAGCUUACCAGGCCCGACGGCCGGACGAGUGUUGUACACGAUAGGUCGAAGAGUGGUGCAUGGCCGUUAACGACGAGUGAGGUGACUUUUGGGUUAAAUCCGGGAAGUAGUGAGACCCCUACCGAAAGGGACAGGUGCCGAAAGCACAGGAAGGAAGGGUCAAGAACAGGUCAGUGAUGCCCUCAGAUGGUCUGGGCUGCACGCGCACUACAGUGGUCAUAGAAAUGAAACGAUAGAAUUAAAGAUGAUCGAGAGGGAAUGAGCUUUGUAAGAGGCUCAGGAACGAGGAAUUGCUAGUAAUCGCGGACUCAUUAAGACGCGAUGAAUACGUCCCUGUUCUUUGUACACACCGCCCGUCGUUAUCGAAGAUGGAGUCAGGCGCGAACAAGCGAGAGCSAGUGAGUGAGUGCAGGAUUCUAGAUGUGAUACAAGUCGUAACAAGGUAGCUGUAGGAGAACCUGUAGCUGGAUCAGAA